rnacentral:sRNA from 1 species
UAACAACUAGAUUUAUUAUAUUCUCGAUAUUGUACAACUAUGACAAAAAAUGUGCAACCGAAUACAACUGUACAACUAUGGGCAAUAUAUUUUUCAGAUAUUUAUAGAUAUUUUUUAGAUAUUUGUAGAUAUUUUAUAAUAAAAAUUAGCUUUAUUCUUUUGUGAUAAAAAUAUUUAUUUAUUUUUUGUCAUCAAAA